rfam:Nadsonia fulvescens var. elongata DSM 6958 unplaced genomic scaffold NADFTscaffold_2, whole genome shotgun sequence.
GGAUCUGUAGUGUAGUGGUUAUCACGCCUCACUCACAUUUGUGUUCUGAGGAGGUCCUGAGUUCGAACCUCAGCCGAUUCA